AUGGCGAUGGGGUGAAAAAGAGGUGCUAAUUUAACUACAUGUGCUCUGAAGAGGGCAGGACUUCUGCCCUGUCUCUCCUAAGCAAUGGGCCCUGGUCACUACCUGGCACCAUUUAAGCCAGUAAUAUACUACUUCUAAUCAAAUUUGGGCUAUUGUAGAUUCUGCACUUGUCUCGUUUAAGUUUGUGGCUAACCUUUCUCUUUACUUGUUCCUGUCUGAAUCUGUGUUCUCUUGCCUAGCAGCUGACGGAUUAGUUGAAGAAGUCCCAGAGGAAUCACAAGGAAGACUGGGAGGUCUGUGUGGCAAGAAAGGCAAAAAUGGAAGGGAAGGCCAUGGUCAGCAGUACAGGCCUUGCAGCCAGAAUGUCCAGGGAGGCCAAAAAAACUCAUCUAGCAGAGGUGGCCAAGAUGGUCGAGGUGGCCAAAGAGGCUCGGAUCAUGAGGAAGACCAGGGCAGCCAGGGUAGCCAUGGUGGCAGACGUGGCCAGGGUGGCCCUGGUGGCCAGAGAGGCCAGCAUGGAAGAGGUGGCCAGGGUGGUCAGCACAGUGGCCAAUGAUAAGGAAACCCAACUAAAGAUGGUCUCCAGUGAUUCUCUAGAAAUGAUACAGAUCCACUGAUGUCAUAGACUUCUCAGUGGUGUAAACUUCUUGGCCUUUCCUUUCUCCAACUUCAAAACGUCAAUAA
rnacentral:lncRNA from 1 species